rnacentral:rRNA from 1 species
GAUGAACGCUGGCGGCGUGCUUAACACAUGCAAGUCGAACGAGAAGUGAAGACGGAAACCUUCGGGCGGAAGGCUUUAUUUCGAGUGGCGGACGGGUGAGUAACGCGUGGGUAACCUGCCUCAUACAAGGGGAUAACAGUUGGAAACGACUGUUAAUACCGCAUAAGACCACAGCACCGCAUGGUGCGGGGGUAAAAACUCCGGUGGUAUGAGAUGGACCCGCGUUCGAUUAGCCAGUUGGCGGGGUAACGGCCCACCAAAGCGACGAUCGAUAGCCGAUCUGAGAGGAUGACCGGCCACAUUGGGACUGAGACACGGCCCAAACUCCUACGGGAGGCAGCAGUGGGGAAUAUUGCACAAUGGGGGAAACCCUGAUGCAGCGACGCCGCGUGAGUGAAGAAGUAUUUCGGUAUGUAAAGCUCUAUCAGCAGGGAAGAAAAUGACGGUACCUGAGUAAGAAGCCCCGGCUAACUACGUG